rnacentral:sRNA from 1 species
UAAUAAGCAUGAAAAAGAGGAGUUGCGAUAACAACUCCCCUUAUGACAGCACCGUUUAAGAUGGUGACCAGUUUUAUACUAUUAAAGA